rnacentral:misc_RNA from 1 species
UUUGGCGAGAGAUAAAAAACAAAGAAACAUAACACGCUUGUGUUGUAUAACAGUCUUACAUGCCAGUGUUUCUUUGUUUUUUAUCUCUCGCCAAAAUUACCUUACGAAUACAGCCUCAAAAUUGCACUAUCUAAUAACCUAUAACUCAUAAAGACCAAAAGUAGACACAACUCAUUGUGCCCAUGUUGUACAUAUUUACUACUACACUUGCAUGUGAAUGGAACUAUGGCAGACUUGAACCAAUUUAGAUCGCAAAACAUCUCAAGCAGUCAGUUUCUGUGAAGAAUUAACAGCACCCAUGUAAUGUGGCCAACAAGCCUUGCCAAGUUUCUCCAGGUGCACCUGCCACUUGAAAGUCAACCAGUUUCUUUUGUUUCCUAUAGUAAUCUUCCAAUGCCUUACCCUGUUCUGCAUAUAUACGGAACUUUUC